CCCGCCCGGCAUAAAAUUACACGGAGGGUUUCUGCACGGUAUUUUUUUAUACUGACCACUUAUUGACCAGUCCUUCAAAUACUGAGUUUUUAGGCGUGUAAUAGAUGGCGUGUUCAUUUGUGUCAGUUAUGGCGUUAUGGGCUCAUGGCGGUUUGUUGUCAAAAGAUAAGCUAUUUUUUCUUCGAAAAUUACCAAUGUAUUUACUGGUAAAUUCGAGUGAUUUCGUCUGUACAUUGUCGGAGAAAACGUGUUGAAAGGGUCGUGCAGCUUACUGCUGUCAACCAUUUUGUUCAAAAUCAUUGUAUUCUACUGAAUGUGCGACAAUUCUUCAAUUCCAUCAAAAUGAAACAGGAUUCAUCAUAAUUAUCUGCUAUUUGUAUUGGACUUGCUAGACCACCAAUCCCAGCCAUGCCCGAUUUUGAUUGUUCUUCAUUACAGGUUUCUAACACAUUGGCAUGAUCGAUUUGAUGAGAAGGAGGCAUUCACAUUGUACAUCUUUCUAAAUUGGCAUGACAGACUUGAUGAGAAGGAUGUUUGAAGAAAAAGGAAAAGGACUAUACAGUCAACAAGGUUCCUUGUUUGCUAACCCGUUGGCUGCUACCCUUGAAUCUCCCUGUUAAACAGGGUAAACAGGGCCUGUUUACUUCCUUACACGGGUCCUCUUGAUUUGAGGGUAACUCUUUCGCUACUGAUCACAUCCACUGUUGUAAACUGACGAGAGAAUGCUGCAAUUCAAGACUGAUACAUUUUGUAGUGGUUAGAUCAAUGACAAGUGCAUAUCUGGGCUCCCUUCUUUUCUGUGGCUCCGUUUCCCUAACUAACCACUAACCAACGCCCGCCGGUGGUCACUCACCCGCUGUGAAACCAGG